UUAGCUUGUCGCUUAUUAAUUAAGCCAACCAGUCAUUCCUCAAACAUAUUGUUAGCUUACACCACACACAUACAUAUACAAAUGUGUGGUAGGUUAUGUGUAUGUGUAUAGACUUAGCCAGAUGGCUGAAACCAAUCAAAGGAAUACAUAGAGUUAAAUGUGUUCUAACAUCACAAAGUAACGAAACGGCGUCGGUUGCGGAGCGGUGGUGGUGACCCGGUCGGCACGGCCCGCGCUAGCCCGGCGGCGGCACGCUGUCGCGCCCGGGCCAGUCGGUUGGCGAACGCAGCGCUUCUUAGAGGGACGGGCGGCAGAAAGCCGCACGAGGCGGAGCGAUAACAGGUCUGUGAUGCCCUUAGAUGUCCGGGGCCGCACGCGCGCUACACUGGAGGUAUCAGCGGGCGCGUCUCCCCCGGCCCGAGAGGGUCGGGAAACCUCUGAACCACCUCCCGUGAUAGGGAUCGGGGCCUGGAACCAAC
rnacentral:ncRNA from 1 species